rnacentral:rRNA from 1 species
UAACGGCGAGUGAAGCGGCAACAGCUCAAAUUUGAAAUCUGGCCCUCGGGUCCGAGUUGUAAUUUGUAGAGGAUGCUUUUGGUGCGGUACCUUCCGAGUUCCCUGGAACGGGACGCCAUAGAGGGUGAGAGCCCCGUCUGGUUGGAUGCCAAUCCUCUGUAAAGCUCCUUCGACGAGUCGAGUAGUUUGGGAAUGCUGCUCUAAAUGGGAGGUAUAUGUCUUCUAAAGCUAAAUACUGGCCAGAGACCGAUAGCGCACAAGUAGAGUGAUCGAAAGAUGAAAAGCACUUUGAAAAGAGAGUUAAAAAGUACGUGAAAUUGUUGAAAGGGAAGCGCUUAUGACCAGACUUGGGCUUGGUUGAUCAUCCUGGGUUUUCCCUGGUGCACUCUUCCAGUUCAGGCCAGCAUCAGUUUGCUUCGGGGGAUAAAGGUUUCGGGAAUGUGGCUCCCUCGGGAGUGUUAUAGCCCGUUUCGUAAUACCCUGAGACAGACUGAGGUUCGCGCAUCUGCAAGGAUGCUGGCGUAAUGGUCAUCAGCGACCCGUCUUGAAACACGGACCAAGGAGUCGUCUUCGUAUGCGAGUGUUCGGGUGUUAAACCCCUACGCGUAAUGAAAGUGAACGCAGGUGAGAGCUUCGGCGCAUCAUCGACCGAUCCUGAUGUUCUCGGAUGGAUUUGAGUAAGAGCAUACGGGGCCGGACCCGAAAGAAGGUGAACUAUGCCUGUAUAGGGUGAAGCCAGAGGAAACUCUGGUGGAGGCUCGCAGCGGUUCUGACGUGCAAAUCGAUCGUCAAAUAUGGGCAUGGGGGCGAAAGACUAAUCGAACCUUCUAGUAGCUGGUUUCCGCCGAAGUUUCCCUCAGGAUAGCAGUGUUGACUUCAGUUUUAUGAGGUAAAGCGAAUGAUUAGGGACUCGGGGGCGCUAUAUUGCCUUCAUCCAUUCUCAAACUUUAAUAUGUAAGAAGCCUUUGUACUUAGUUGAACGUAGGCAUUGAAUG